GUUGAAUGACUAUAAUUGCAUUAGAAUUUUGUAUGAUGAUCAUACUUGACAAUGUGACAGACAUGUGUUCAGUAGUUUUGACAGACUUUGAAACAUCUGCAUUGAGCUAUAUUCAUGUUCCAGUUUAGCAGAUUUCCUUCUGGAACUCUUAUUUGUUGAGUCAGAGAAUAUUUUACUCUUUACUCUUUUUGGAUUAUGAUUGUGUUAAAUUGACAUGAUCUGAUCAGAAUCCCUCAAGGAUUAUAAUUUUCCAGGCUACAUUGCACAAAUAAAAGCAGUCAGGGAGGGAAACCUCUAAAUGGAGUCCCUUGGAGAGGGAGGUGCAGAGAAAAAAAAAAAACAGCUGCUUUUUUGCUUAGACCCUGAUAAACCCAAAAAGACCUUAAACAGGUGAAUAUUUGUUUCUGGUAAUUUAUGAGGAUUUUGACCUGUUGUAGAUCUUAACUGUGACAACAAAGAAUAUUUGUGUUUAACCGCUUUAAAGUCUAAACCGAGCAAGCUAAAAGCCCCCUAUUGACAUUCACGUCCAAGUACAAUAGUUGGCGUCCAUCAGUAAAAAGAGAUCCGGUCUCCAGAUGGUUUUGUUCGGAUCUGUAAGUGACACAGGACAAAUGCUGCUCUUGUUAAAGGAAUGUUGAGCCCAGCUUUUAACUUAAAGAAAAGCCAAUGCCACAGGGACCUCCUGGUGGAAUUUUUGGCAUCUUGGGAGUUGUGGUAGUGGCCGGUCUGAUUGUAGGAGUGGUGGCUACGAUAUGUAUGGUGUACAGGAGAGGACAGAAGCCCCGCACAGAAACAGACAACGAUCUGACUGACCUCCCCCCUGCUCAUAAGCCGGCCCCUCCGCCACCCAAGAAAAAGAGCAGCGACAUGAAAGGCGGCCUGACGUCUGACGAGAUCCAGAACUCUGGGAACGAAGAGCUACCGAACCCAGCUGGCUAUGUGAGCUGCCAUCAUCCAGGCAACCACGAACAAUUUAUUGAACCUCCACCUCCUUCUGCCUACCCCCCUGUUACCUUCCUGCCCCAGAAACCUUACAGCCAGCACCCUACUAAUACCCCCAUGUACACCUUCCAUCCCAACGCGGCCCCACCCGCCCCCCGACCCCCAUUUAACUACCCCAAAGAGCAAUCCGUCUAGACCCAUGGCUGUCCGAGCGGGAAGACGCCCCAUCUCCUCAUACAGGAUAGCCAUUACGCAUCACACCUGGAGAGAACAACACUUCCUUUCUCAUUACUGUUGUCCUGCGCUGGCCACAUCAGGAUGCGGGCGUUCUCCCGGAACAAUGAAUAAAAGUGUCAGUAGUUUGUGGACCUGAAACCGUGUGUUGUGCACUGCAUGUUUCACUAUGAGGCUGUGGUUAGGACCCCUAGUCUUGUGCUGUAAAUAUAGAAACACCGCACCACAACUCUACACCCUCCCUCCCCUCACAACAGCACACCUCACUUCUCCUGAACACAGGGUAUCAGCCUUCGCUCUGCCUAAACCUCUCUUAGAUCUUCCCCUCCUUUAUUUUAAUUCUGCCAAAUGUCUGACCAUUGACAGUGUUUCAAGAAAUUGUCACCCAAAAGGGAACAUUCGGUCAUUAUUUAUGCACUCUCAUGUGAUUUCAAAGCGUAUGCUGAUAUUUUAUUUCUAGAGCAUAGAAGAUGAUUUUUUAAAUAACCUUCUCGCAGCUCUUUUCCGAGAAAUGGUUCAAGGUAAUUAUGUCUGUCAGAUUCCAAAAAGGACACUUUAAUAAAUAAAGUUUCUUUAUUGGCAUCAGUUGUUACAUGAUGAAUAUUUAACAUCUAUAGAACCUUUCCAUUCCACAAAAGCUUUUUAAGUGAAAAGAGGUUCUUUCGAUUUUUAAAUGUUCGUCAAACUAAGUAAAAGUGGCUCUCUUAAGGAAUGUUCACUGAAAAGUUCUUUGGGAACCAAAAACGAUUAUUCUGUAGCAUUGCUGUGAAAACCGAUUUUGCGGUGUAUGGAAAAUAACCGCUUGAAUGAUAUUUAAGAGUUCUUUUUUUGUGUGUUCCUGUUAAAAAAUAACCUCAUACAGAUUUGCAAUUGCAUGAGGCCGAGUAGGUAAUGACAGAACUGUUUCUUUGUCAUUGUGUCACCAUUUUGCUUUCUUUUUUCUUUUUUUUUCUCUUUCAGUGAGUUUUGUUUUAUCGAUUGUUACACAUUUGUGUAUUGCUCUUUUAUUCUUCAGAUUAUAUUUGCUUGCUUCUUGUUGUACAUGUUUGAGUUAAGUGACUGUUAAAAUGUAACAUUUUAUUUGUCUAUUGACAUUUUGUCAAAAUUACGACAUGGCACAACAUCCCAACAGUGAUUCUGCUGAAACAGCAUUAUAUGGGUAAAUUGGCAGUGCCCGUUUUUCUCAAAGGUAUCCAAAUAGUACCAACUAUCAAUAAAAUAUUUAGUCAUUAUAAUCUAAAAUGUGAAUGUUCCCUCUGCUCUACAUGAGAAAAAAUUAAAGGGCUCUAUUUCACUUCCUCUCAUAAGAUAUCAUCCUGUGUCACAAGUGAAACACUUCAUUUUUGAUGGCAUAAACACUUUCAUCUCGUUUUGCUUGUAGUUACCAAAGAAAUAGAGCAUUCCAUAUUUGUUUCCACACAAAUGUUUACAUUUGGUAUUAUCAAAGAUUUAGUGAGAUAAGCUGAUACUUUUCAUCAGGAAACUCAUUCAUGUUUCAAGCGAUCCAGAUAAUCGUAACUCUCAUGUAUCAAUUUAUUUAUUUGAAAUCUUGUUAAAAGAUAAUGUUUUAUUUCCGUUGCUGCUGUAUUCAUAAGUGUAGGUUGUCCUUGAAAAUGCAUGUGUUUCUAUACAGUUUCAUUGUCAUCAUCUCUUUUUGUUAAACCUACUAUUAAUGUUCCAUUUUGUUUCACUGGUUGACAUACACAAAACCUUUUCAGGGACAAUCCACAACUUUUUUCCUCAUUAAGCUAUUUUUGAAAGAAAAGCAUAUGUUGAUGUAUUUUUUUAGAGAAUGAUCCUCAGAAUGCGCUUACCGUCUAAAACAUAUUUAAUGUCCUAUUCAGUCCUGAACCCUUACAAAGAGCCAAUACAAAUCACUGCUGCCCUCUUUACAACCUCAACCAGACCUCUUCAAAGAAUGAGAUCAUCUAACAAGAAUGACGCUCAUGUUGUUAAGCCAUGUCAAAUGUACAUGCUGAAAAAGAAAAAAAAAAAAUGUGCUCAAUGUUUGUGGUCAAUGUGAAAGUUACAAGUAAUAAAAGACGAACCCUUAGAGUUGUUCAGGACUGGUUAAAAAAAAAAAAAAAUUAUUUUUGCAGUGGUUUAUGGGAUAGGUUACAAUAUGUGAAGCUACCUACUCUGCACACCUUUAUGUCUGGCAUUGAUUUGUAUGUGUGUACUAGUGUAGCAUUAGACUCAUCUGUGGUUCCUGGGUCACAUUGCUGGAUAGAAAUACCUGUCCCCAUGUCACAUAUUUUGGAUUAUUGCUGCCACAUGUAUUAUUAUUAUUAUUAUUAUUAUUAUUAUUAUUCAACACUGAACAAUGCAUCCUUUGCCCCUGGUUGAUUUUCUUUGUUGUCCUACUGCCUCGGAUAAUUUGAAAUUGCAAAGUUUUUCUUUUCUUCUGAAAUUGCAAUAUUAUUUUACUUCAUUUCUAUGUUUGCAGUCCUGCUGAGUUUGUUUUUUACACGUGAGCUGUAGGUUUUUGUUAAUAUUUUCUAACACAUACGAUGUAUACAUUAUAUCUUCAUGUUUGUAAAGGAAAAUCAUUGCCCGAGUCAUUGUGAACACAUGAACUCAAUCAAUGUAUGUCACUGCAAGUUAUUCUUCCAUAUGUGAAGUAUUAUGACUUUUUUGUCUUUUUUUUUUUUUUUACAUGGGGAUUAUGUUUGGUGUAAAAAUUAACUUCAUGUACCAGAUGUGUGAAACAAAACUCAUGCAGAUGAAAAUUAAACUUCAC
rnacentral:lncRNA from 12 species